rnacentral:rRNA from 1 species
UUACCGGCUUGAAAGGACAGAGAUCUCCUCGGACCUAGGUGCUGCAUGGUUGUCGUCAGCUCGUGCCGUGAGGUGUCGGGUUAAGUCCCAUAACGAGCGCAACCCUAUCAUAGUUACCAGCGGUCGGGACUCUAUGAGACUGCCAGUGUAACUGGAGGAAGGUGGGGAUGACGUCAAAUCAGCACGGCCCUUACGCCGGGCCACACACGUGUUAAAUGGGGUACAAGGGGCAUAGCAAUAGAUGCAAUCUCAAAACCUUCUCAGUUCGGAUUGGAGGCUGAAGCUCGCCUCUAUGAAGUUGGAUUCGCUAGUAAUCGCAAUCAGCACGUGCGGUGAAUACGUUCCCGGGCCUUGUACACACCGCCCGUCAAGCCAUGGAAGUCGGGGGCCGAA